GAUGAACGCUAGCUACAGGCUUAACACAUGCAAGUCGAGGGGAAACGACAUCGAAAGCUUGCUUUUGAUGGGCGUCGACCGGCGCACGGGUGAGUAACGCGUAUCCAACCUGCCCAUCACUUGGGAAUAACCUUGCGAAAGUAAGACUAAUACCCAAUGAUAUCCCACGAAGGCAUCGGAAUGGGAUUAAAGAUUUAUCGGUGAUGGAUGGGGAUGCGUCUGAUUAGCUUGUUGGCGGGGUAACGGCCCACCAAGGCAACGAUCAGUAGGGGUUCUGAGAGGAAGAUCCCCCACAUUGGAACUGAGACACGGUCCAAACUCCUACGGGAGGCAGCAGUGAGGAAUAUUGGUCAAUGGGCGAGAGCAUGAACCAGCCAAGUAGCGUGCAGGAAGACGGCCCUAUGGGUUGUAAACUGCUUUUAUAAGGGAAUAAAGUGGGUCACGUGUGACUUUUUGCAUGUACCUUAUGAAUAAGGACCGGCUAAUUCCGUG
rnacentral:rRNA from 1 species